rnacentral:rRNA from 1 species
AAUGAACGCUGGCGGAAUGCUUUACACAUGCAAGUCGAACGAUGAAGCCUAGCUUGCUAGGUCGAUUAGUGGCGAACGGGUGAGUAAUGUAUCGGAACGUAUCCAAUAAUGGGGGAUAACUAGUCGAAAGAUUGGCUAAUACCGCAUACGUCCUACGGGAGAAAGCUGGGGAUCGUAAGACCUGGCGUUAAUGGAGCGGCCGAUAUCUGAUUAGCUGGUUGGUGAGGUAAAGGCUCGCCAAGGCGACGAUCAGUAGCUGGUCUGAGAGGACGACAAGCAACACUGGAACUGAGACACGGUCCAGACUCCUAUGGGAGGCAGCAGUGGGGAAUUUUAGACAAUGGGCGAAAGCCUGAUCCAGCCAUUCCGCGUGAGUGGAGAAGGCCUUCGGGUUGUAAAGCUCUUUCGCAAGGGAAGAGCACUUACUUAAUAACACUAAGUUAGGUUGACGGUACCUUGAUAAGAAGCACCGGCUAACUACGUGCCAGCCGCCGCUGUAAGAC